rnacentral:misc_RNA from 1 species
GGAAGGAUCAUUAUUGAAUAAACCUGAUGGGGUUGUUGCUGGUUCUCUAGGGAGCAUGUGCACGCCUUGUCACCUUUAUAUCUCCACCUGUGCACCUUUUGUAGACCUCUUCAGGUCUAUGUUGCUUCAUUUACACCAACGUAUGUCAAUAGAAUGUUGUGCCUAUAUAUAAUAUAUACAACUUUCAGCAACGGAUCUCUUGGCUCUCGCAUCGAUGAAGAACGCAGCGAAAUGCGAUAAGUAAUGUGAAUUGCAGAAUUCAGUGAAUCAUCGAAUCUUUGAACGCACCUUGCGCUCCUUGGUAUUCCGAGGAGCAUGCCUGUUUGAGUGUCAUUAAUAUAUAUCAACCUUCUCUUGUGGAAUGGUUUGGAUGUGGGAGUUUGCUGGCCUCAUGAAGAGUUCAGCUCUCCUGAAAUGCAUUAGCAGAACAACCUUG